rnacentral:rRNA from 1 species
UGGGGAAUAUUGCACAAUGGGGGAAACCCUGAUGCAGCGACGCCGCGUGAGCGAAGAAGGCCUUCGGGUCGUAAAGCUCUUUUAUAUGGGAAGAUAAUGACGGUACCAUAAGAAAAAGCCCCGGCUAACUACGUGCCAGCAGCCGCGGUAAUACGUAGGGGGCUAGCGUUGUCCGGAAUCACUGGGCGUAAAGGGUUCGCAGGCGGAAAUGCAAGUCAGGUGUAAAAGGCAGUAGCUUAACUACUGUAAGCAUUUGAAACUGCAUAUCUUGAGAAGAGUAGAGGUAAGUGGAAUUUUUAGUGUAGCGGUGAAAUGCGUAGAUAUUAAAAAGAAUACCGGUGGCGAAGGCGACUUACUGGGCUCAUUCUGACGCGGAGGAACGAAAGCGUGGGUAGCAAACAGG